GACGAACGCUGGCGGCGUGCUUAACACAUGCAAGUCGAACGGAAAGGCCCUGCUUGCAGGGUACUCGAGUGGCGAACGGGUGAGUAACACGUGGGUGAUCUGCCCUGCACUUCGGGAUAAGCCUGGGAAACUGGGUCUAAUACCGGAUAGGAGCCAUUUUUAGUGUGAUGGUUGGAAAGUUUUUUCGGUGUAGGAUGAGCUCGCGGCCUAUCAGCUUGUUGGUGGGGUAAUGGCCUACCAAGGCGGCGACGGGUAGCCGGCCUGAGAGGGUGGACGGCCACAUUGGGACUGAGAUACGGCCCAGACUCCUACGGGAGGCAGCAGUGGGGAAUAUUGCACAAGGGGCGCAAGACGGAUGCAGCGACGCCGCGUGGGGGAGGACGGCCUUCGGGUUGUAAACUCCUUUCGCUAGGGACGAAGCUUUUUGUGACGGUACCUAGAUAAGAAGCACCGGCUAACUACGUG
rnacentral:rRNA from 1 species